UGAGGAAUUUUGGACAAUGGGCGAAAGCCUGAUCCAGCAAUGCCGCGUGUGUGAAGAAGGCCUUCGGGUUGUAAAGCACUUUUGUCCGGAAAGAAAUCCUUGGCUCUAAUACAGUCGGGGGAUGACGGUACCGGAGGAAUAAGCACCGGCUAACUACGUGCCAGCAGCCGCGGUAAUACGUAGGGUGCAAGCGUUAAUCGGAAUUACUGGGCGUAAAACGUGCGCAGGCGGUUUGCUAAGACCGAUGUGAAAUCCCCGGGCUCAACCUGGGAACUGCAUUGGUGACUGGCAGGCUAGAGUAUGGCAGAGGGGGGUAGAAUUCCACGUGUAGCAGUGAAAUGCGUAGAGAUGUGGAGGAAUACCGAUGGCGAAGGCAGCCCCCUGGGCCAAUACUGACGCUCGUGCACGAAAGCGUGGGGAGCAAACAGGAUUAGAUACCCUGGUAGUCCACGCCCUAAACGAUGUCAACUAGUUGUUGGGGAUUCAUUUCCUUAGUAACGUAGCUAACGCGUGAAGUUGACCGCCUGGGGAGUACGGUCGCAAGAUUAAAACUUAAAUGAAUUGACGGGGUCAUAGCUGUUUCCU
rnacentral:rRNA from 1 species